UUGACCCAGCAAUGCAAGAUCAAGAUACCCCUGUUUGCCUGAGCUUCCACGGCACUCUUUCAAGCGAUGCGGAAAUACUAGGGCUGCCUCUCGCUACAAUCAGAAAUGACGACCCUCAACCUUCGGCAGCACUCUGUGAAACAAUACGACCGGCUUAUCCAGCUGCACAGGCUGAUGCUGCCUGCCAAACAGAACCAGGAUGCCAAGGAAAUCUGAUCGUCCUCCUGUCAGCAACAAAUGGGUCCCAGGCAUCCACCCAAGUUUCUCAUACUGAACAGCGCGGCAAGGUCACCGGGACUGAUGAAAACUGGAAGAGGAAACGUGAAUUGUUUGGGUUUAAGACACUGAAGCAAACCCGGACACAAAGACCCAAACUGAGGCUCAGAAAUUGACAUCACUCAGAUGUCAAUUAACCACUUAGAAAGGAAGACUAGGUUUCCGGAUGGCACUUAGGUUUGACGUGAAAUAUGCCGGUCUUCCUCUUAUUAUGCGUACCUCAUUUCAAGAUGUUUCUUCCAUAUAAAUACAUUGUAAUCACGUGGUU
rnacentral:lncRNA from 1 species